rnacentral:tRNA from 1 species
GCCCGGGUGGUGAAAUUGGUAGACACGCAGAGUUUAAGCCUCUGUGAAGAAAUUCGUGCCGGUUCGAGUCCGGCCCCGGGCACCA